GAUGAACGCUAGCUACAGGCUUAACACAUGCAAGUCGAGGGGAAACGGCAUCGAAAGCUUGCUUUUGAUGGGCGUCGACCGGCGCACGGGUGAGUAACGCGUAUCCAACCUGCCCAUCACUUGGGAAUAACCUUGCGAAAGUAAGACUAAUGCCCAAUGACAUCCCACGAAGGCAUCCGAAUGGGAUUAAAGAUUUAUCGGUGAUGGAUGGGGAUGCGUCUGAUUAGCUUGUUGGCGGGGUGACGGCCCACCAAGGCAACGAUCAGUAGGGGUUCUGAGAGGAAGGGCCCCCACAUUGGAACCGGGAAACGGGCCAAACUGAUACGGGAGACAGCAGUGAGGAAGAUUGGUGAAUGGGAGAGAGCCUGAACCAGCCAAGUAGCGUGCAGGAUGACGGCCCUAUGGGUUGUAAACUGCUUUUAUAAGGGAAUAAAGUGGGUCACGUGUGACUUUUUGCAUGUACCUUAUGAAUAAGGACCGGCUAAUUACGUG
rnacentral:rRNA from 1 species